GAUGAACGCUGGCGGCGUGCCUAAUAAAUGCAAGUCGAGCGAAUGGAUUAAGAGCUUGCUCUUAUGAAGUUAGCGGCGGACGGGUGAGUAACACGUGGGUAACAUGCACAUAAGACUGGGAUAACUACGGGAAACCGAGGCUAAUACCGGAUAACAAUUUGAACCGCACGGUUCGAAAUUGAAAGGCGGAUUCGGCUGUCACUUAUGGAUGGAUGCGCGUCGCAUUUGCUAGUUGGUGAGGUAACGGCUCACCAAGGCAACGAUGCGUAGCCGGCCUGGGAGGGGGAUCGGCCAGACUGGGACUCAGACACGGCCCAGACUCCAACGGGAGGCAGCAGUAGGGAAUCUUCCGCCAUGGACGAAAGUCUGACGGAGCAACGCGGCGUGAGUGAUGAAGGCUUUCGGGUCGUAAAACUCUGUCGUUAGGGAAGAACAAGUGCUAGUUGAAUAAGCUGGCACCUUGACGGUACCUAACCAGAAAGCCACGGCUAACUACGUGCCAGCCGCCGCCGUAA
rnacentral:rRNA from 1 species